rnacentral:rRNA from 1 species
GGGUCAGUAGGUUGUUCGUGCCACCGGUACGUACUGGUCUCACUGAUGCCUCCUUCCUGAAGAACCGUAAUGCCAUUAAUUUGGUGUUGCGGGGAAACAGGACUGUUACUUUGAAAAAAAUUAGAGUGUUUAAAGCAAGCUAACGCUUGAAUACAUUAGCAUGGAAUAAUGAAAUAGGACGAUCGAUCCUAUUUUGUUGGUUUAUAGGAUUGACGUA